AACAUUCCAAGAUAUUUAUAAGCAAGAGCCACAGGAGCAUGAAUUCCUCAGAAUAUGUAGAAUUAUCUAGAUUUUAGCCUAUCUGACAAGUUUCUCUCCCUAUUACCAUAACAAAAGUCUUUUAAACCACUGUAUAAACUGAGAUAUUUAAGUUAAUCACCUGCCUUGCAAAGAACCUUGACUAAUGAGUAAAUAAAGUUCAGACAGUUGUAAAGGGAAGACGGGAUAGCUCUUUCACUGUAGAAAACAUUAUCAUUAUAUACUAUGUAACAGCGUGCAAAUAAUACAAAAUAAUAAUAUAAACUAUAGGCUAUUAGAUUACUAGUCCUUUGAAAAAUAUUUCUGGAAGGCCGGGCACGGUGGCUCACGCCUGCAUUUUCUUUAAAAUGUUCUGCAUAUAUUUCCUAUAUGAUCAGACCUUUAAGCAAAAUAUCUGAUCUUCGGAAAUGCAAAGGGAUUUCUGGGUAUAGGAAAAGUCUUGUUUUCUUAUAAUUACAAAAUAUAUUUUCUACAUCAUAAACUGAUAGUAAGUAAGCAUAUCAUGUCCUUGUAACAACUAAACACUGGGGCAAAUAUACUGACUGAUAAGCCCUUAUGAAAGAAUACACAUUCAUGUUAUAAAAUAAAAUACAUCUAAAACCAUGGCCAAUAUUCAGCCAGGAAGUACCAGUCUGG
rnacentral:lncRNA from 10 species